UACAGAGGUCUCAAGCGUUGUUCGGAUUCAUUGGGCGUAAAGGGUGCGUAGGCGGUCGCGCAAGUCGGAUGUGAAAUCUCAGGGCUCAACCCUGAAACUGCAUUCGAUACUGCGUGGCUAGAGUGCUGGAGAGGAGACUGGAAUUUACGGUGUAGCAGUGAAAUGCGUAGAUAUCGUAAGGAAGACCAGUGGCGAAGGCGAGUCUCUGGACAGCAACUGACGCUGAGGCACGAAGGCCAGGGGAGCAAAAGGG
rnacentral:rRNA from 1 species